GAAGAUUCCCCGCCCCCACUUCUAGGCUUGGUUGAACCGUGCAGAUACCUUCUCGAAACAAAAGAUUUUCCUACCUGCUUAUACUUGGUAACCGAGGGAAUUACUAAGACUUCUUGCUCAUUUCUGAGUAUUGUCUUUAUAUCCUGACACUAUGAAUGCUACUUGGAUGCCUCUUAAGGGUCUCUUCUGCAGGGUCCCCAUGAAUUGUGGCUGAAGUUGUGCACAAACAAGUAUCUCCAGUGACAGGAGUGCCUUCUGAGGCAGCCAUUGCAUCUUCAUCUGCUGACACUCUGCUAGGCUGACUUCUGUAGUUUUCACCACUGAUCUUCAGUCCACCUCACAGAGCUCUAUAAAACGCUUAAAUCCUCUUUACAUCAUAGACUUUCAGCUACUUGAAGAUAGCCAUCAGCCGCUACGUGACUCUUUUCUCCAGGAUCUCCCUAAUACUAUGAACGCGGCAGAGAUAACGGACAAGCUCGGCCUCCAUUCCCUCCGCUACAGAAACUGGCACAUUCAGGCUACUUGUGCCACUACUGGACAUGGGCUUUACGAAGGCCUGAACUGGCUCGCCAACCAGUUCCAGAACCAGAACUGAUCAGAAGGAUCUAUUCUUUGUGCCUUGUGGCCACAUCAGCUAGCCUCUGCUGUGUGCACGUGUACGUGUGUGCUGGGAGUGGAGGCAGCUUUCUCACAGUGCCUUAUCCAUGCCGUAAGAAAAGCAGUGUUACAUUUUAAGAAACCCAGUGUUAAGUUUUAAACACCACCUUCCAUUUCAGUAGCUUUGAUGAUCAUUUUUGCAAUUGAUGGAGAAGUCCAGAGGGCUUGCUGGUGCUCGAAGGCCAGAGCGGGCUUCAUGGAGGCGAGUUGGAGCGGGGACUGAGUUCAGCUGUUGCAAUCCUGGUCUGGCGUCUGGAGUCCUGUUAGUCUUUGGCAUCCUUUCGUAAAAAGGAAGGAAUUGUCAUUCUUUUUUUUUUUUAAACCAUAUUUUUACUGUACCUUUUCAUGUUUAUUUAUUUUUUAUUAAAAAAAUUUUUUUUGAAACAGCCUCCCACUCUGUCGCCCAAGCUGGAGUGCAGUGGUGCGAUCUCAGCUCACUGCAACCUCCGUCUCUCGGGCUCAAGCAAUCCUCCCACCUCAGCCCCCUGAGUAGCUGAGACUAUGGGUGUGCACCACCACACCUGGCUAAUUUUUGUAUUUUUUGUGGAGACAGGGUCUUGCCAUGUUGCCCAGGCUGGUCUGUAACUCCUGAGCUCAAGGGAUCCACCCACCUCAGCCUUCCAAAAUGCUGGGAUUACAGGCAUGAGCCACUGCGCUACCGAGAAAUCGUCAUUCUUUACCACCACUGCUGCAGCUAGCAGCUCACUCUUCAGUGCUUUAAGCAAAUGAUCCUCAGGAAAGAAAAGGUAUUUGCUUAUUGCAGGUGCAAAGAGGCUCAGAUUGGAACUUUUCCCUGAAACUUUAUUGUAGCCCAGAGUUCCUGAUGUAAGACGCUUUAUUUAAAGACAUCCGUGAGCUUUUUCACUGGCAUAUCAAUACUUCAUAACACUAGGAAGGCUGGAGUGCAAUGGUGUGAUCUCUGCCUCCUGGGUUCAAGCGAUUCUCCUGCCUCAAGCUCCUGAGUAGCUGGGAUUACAGGCGCCCUCCACCACGCCCGGCGAAUUUUUGUAUCUUUAGUAGAGACAGGGUUUCACCACGUUGGCCAGGUUGGUCUUGAACUCCUGACCUCAUGAUCCGCCUGCCUCGGCCUCCCAAAGUGUUGGGAUUACAGGUGUGAGCCACCGCACCCGGCCUCUGAGAAAUAUUUAGAUUGUACGCCUCAAAUGGGCAGGGACUGUGUCUUACACUUUUGUAUUUAUGCUACAGCUUACCUAAUACAGUGCCAGGCCUCGUUAAACACUUAUUGAUUGCUCAGACGAUAAAGAACUUGCUUUGGAAGGAGGAGAGGAUAGUCAUGUGCUUCUGAAUGUAUUGAACUUCUUGAAAUCUCUUUCCUCAUCAAUUUUAGCAGAGUUUCUAUUGAAACUCCUAGGGUGUGUUUAUGGAAGACAAACUGAGAUGUGCUGUCCCAGCCUUAGGCCCUGGCAGUACGCCUUGCCUUUUCACGGCACACCCACUACAGCCUUUCCCACACUGUGACACUGGAGCUGGUGAGUCAGAUGCAUGGCAUGGGAAGCCCUCUCUAGGAGGAUGCUGUGGCCACACAAGCGCUGGACGAACCGCUGGAGUAGGUGACUUCCAAGGUGUCCUGAUGUAGUAGCUAUUAGACAAGCUCCUGCAUUUGGCCAGUAAUUAGCAUGCUGCUGCACAUUGCCACUAGGUGGUGCUGCUGCUCCAUUCCCAAGUAACCCACAUGCAUCCCUGGCUGGGGUCAGCCUUGGGGUUUCCCAAGUGUAGAGGAAUCCAUCUCUGUGCCUGUGGUAAUGGCUGGACACCAGGAGAGACCCAGAAAACAGGGAUAUCCUAGAAGAGAAAGGCAAAAUAAGCACUCAGAGCAGAGGACAUUUGAGUGUCAAUAAUGAAGGUGGCAGCAGUAAUCAUGGCUAUCAUUUACUAAAAAUAGUGGAUAUUGGCCAGACAUGGUGGCUCACACCUGUAAUCCCAGCAUUUUGGGAGACCAAGGUGGGUGGAUCACUUGAGGUCAGCAGUUCGAGACCAGCCCGGCCAACAUGGUGAAACUAUCUACUAAAAAUACAAAAAUUAGCCAGGUGUGGUGGUGCACGCCUGUAGUCCCAGCUACUCGGGAGGCUGAGGAAGGAGAAUCACUUGAACCUGGGAGGUGGAGGCUGUAGUGAGCUGAGAUCGCAUCACUGCACUCCAGCCUGGACAACAGAGCAAGACUGUCUCAAAAAAAAAAAGUAGAUACUGUGCUAGUCACUUGAUACACAUCAUCUCUGAUCUUUGCACUGAGCGAGGCAUGUGUAUUAUGUCUGCAUUACAAAAGGGGAAAAAUUAAGGUUCAAGAAGAUAAAGUCACCAGGCAUGGUGGCGCAUGCCUGUGAUCGCAGCACUUUAAGAGGCUGAGACAGGCGGAUUGGUUGAAUCCAGGAGUUCAAGACCAGCCUGGGCAACAUAGUGAGACCUCAUCUCUACAAAAAAAAUAAAAUUAGCUGGGUGUGGUGGUGUGUGCCUGUAGUCACAGCUCCUCGGGAGGCUGAUGUGGAAGGAUCACUUGAGCCCGGGAGAUAGAGGCUGCAGUGAGAUGAGACUGAGCCAUUGCACUCAGCCUAGGCAACAGAGUGAGACCCUGUCUCAAAACAAAACAGAAAUAACAAAAAAUAAGGUGACUUGCUGGAGGCCACAUGGCUGUGAGCCAAAUACAGGUCUGGGUUAUCAGGGCUCACAUACUUCUAAGUACACCCUACUGCCUUGGAAUCUGCUGAAGACCAAGCCCCUGCCCCCAAGCCAUGGCAAAGAAGGAGGGAAGGAAGCAAAGGUGCCCAGCGGGGACAACUCGGGGAGGGGCGAGGUGCCCAGGGCCCAGGAAGGCCAAGCAGCAUGUGGCAGGGCAGCAUCAGGUGACUCCCAAGAAGGAAUGAGGAGAGGAUGUGAGGAAAGAGCCACAGCACAGAGGCCUGCUGUUAGGUCAGCGGAGACCACGGCCCAUGGGACCUGGAUCUACCCUUGAUGCUAACAAUGUUCUUUGGGGAAAAAAUCUAUAAUCACAAAGUUUCUGCAACUGGACUGUAGUCAUGGUUGCAGAACUGUAUAGAUUUACUAGGAACCAUCAAAUUGUUCACUUACAAUGGGUAAAUUGUACAGUACAUAGGUUAUCCCUCAGUAAAGCUGUAUGAAAUUUAUAGUCAUGAAACUAAUAGUGACAAACGAGCUGGGUAAGUAGGUCUCAGCUGUUCUGUAGGCACUUUGAGAAGAGGAAGAGUAGCAUCUCGGUUUUAAUAAAAGAAAGCCUGGCCCAUGGCGUCCAGCUUCUGCUUGAAUACUUUCAGUGCCCGGGAGCUCAGUAUCUCAAAGCAGCCCACUCCUGUUUAAGAGAACUCUAAACCUUAGAAUGUUGAAAUACAUCAUUAUUAUUCUAGUACUGCUGUGAAAAAUAAAUGUCUUUGUUUUGCCACAUAACA